rnacentral:rRNA from 1 species
GAACUGAGGCUAAUUCCCCAUAGCCACUCUAUGCUGGAAUGCUUGGGUGGUGAAAGCUCCGGCGCCUGAGGAUGAGUCUGCGGCCUAUCAGGUAGUAUGUGGUGUAACGGACCACAUAGCCUAGGACGGGUACGGGCCCUGAGAGGGGGAGCCCGGAGAUGGACUCUGAGACACUAGUCCAGGCCCUACGGGGCGCAGCAGGCGCGAAACCUGUGCAAUGCGCGCAAGCGCGACACGGGGAACCUGAGUGCUCUGGCUCAGCCAGAGCUUUUCUCGAGCCUAAAAAGCUCGAGGAAUAAGAGCUGGGUAAGACGGGUGCCAGCCGCCGCGGUAACACCCGCAGCUCGAGUGGUGGUCACUUUUAUUGAGCCUAAAGCGUCCGUAGCCGGUUGCGUAAAUCUCCAGGUAAAUUCUUCCGCUCAACGGAAGAUUUUCUGGAGAGACUGCGCGACUUGGGACCGGGUGAGGUUGAACGUACUUCUGGGGUAGGGGUAAAAUCCUGUAAUCCUGGAAGGACGACCGGUGGCGAAAGCGUUCAACUAGAACGGAUCCGACGGUGAGGGACGAAGGCUAGGGGAGCAAACCGGAUUAGAUACCCGGGUAGUCCUAGCUGUAAACACUGCCCACUUGGUGUUGCCUCUCCGAUGAGGGGGGGCAGUGCCGGAGCGAAGGUGUUAAGUGGGCCGCUUGGGGAGUAUGGUCGCAAGGCUGAAACUUAAAGGAAUUGGCGGGGGAGCACCGCAACGGGAGGAGCGUGCGGUUUAAUUGGAUUCAACGCCGGAAAACUCACCGGGAGCGACCUUCGGAUGAGGACCAGCCUGAUGAGCUUGUCCGAUAGAAGGAGAGGUGGUGCAUGGCCGUCGUCAGCUCGUACCGUAGGGCGUUCACUUAAGUGUGAUAACGAGCGAGACCCCUAUCCCUAAUUGCCAUCCUUCACGUGAGUGGAGGGGCACUUUAGGGGGACCGCCAGCGCUAAGCUGGAGGAAGGAAGGGUNGACGGCAGGUCAGUACGCCCCGAAUCUCCCGGGCAACACGCGCGCUACAAAGGGCAGGACAAUGGGAUGCGACCUCGAAAGGGGAAGCUAACCCCGAAACCUGCUCGUAGUCAGGAUUGAGGGCUGUAACUCGCCCUCAUGAAUGUGGAUUCCGUAGUAAUCGCGGGUCAACAUCCCGCGGUGAAUAUGCCCCUGCUCCUUGCACACACCGCCCGUCAAACCAUCCGAGCUGGUGACUG